CGCCAACCACCGCCCGUUCAAUCGGGCAAUGUCGGGAGAUAGACUUUUCGGGCUUUCUUGGCGCCGUAAAGCGGCAAGGGCAACUUCACGACAGUUUGGGAACGAGCUUCACUUCCUCCACGCUGCUGCUGCUGCUCUUGCUGCAGGUUCCUGAGCGAAGAUGGCGUCUGGGGAGGUUAAGUCCGUUUUGUUCGUGUGCUUAGGGAACAUUUGCCGAUCUCCCAUCGCCGAAGCUAUUUUUAAAAAACUUGUAACAGAUGGAAACGUUCAAAACAAGUGGAUGAUAGACAGCGGUGCUGUUUCUGACUGGAAUGUGGGGCGCUCCCCAGAUGCAAGGGCUUUAAGCUGUCUAAGAAAUCAUGGCAUUGUGACGGCCCAUAAAGCACGGCAGGUUACACAAGAUGAUUUCGUGACAUUUGAUUACAUGCUGUGUAUGGAUGAAAGUAACCUACGGCUUACCAGACGCCUCCGGGAUACCCUUGCCGUUUAUCAGUUGCAGGAGAGAAAAAGCAAUCCUAGAUCUACAAAGGAAAAGCAAGCAAGUUAAGAACUGCACAGCUAAAAUUGAGCUCCUUGGAACUUAUGAUCCACAGAACCAGCGUAUUAUUGAAGAUCCAUACUAUGGGAACGAUGAAGAUUUUGAAACCGUUUAUGAACAGUGCCUUAGAUGCUGUAAAGCAUUUUUGGAGAAACCUCAUUAAUGGGAUAAUAUGCUUCUGAAAGUAAAGAAUAUUUAGUUUUUCUAUAAUAGUAUUAAUCUCAAACUUCACUUGAUUGAUACUGAAUUGUAAUAUUGUGCCUCUAAAAUAGAUCCCAUUUAAAGCUGUGUAUUUUAGUCUUUAACAUUAGUUGCUGUACCAUCCUACUUGAGAAUAUUCGAUUUUUAAAAACAGUCUUGACCUUUAUCAGACCUGUGUAACACAAAAUUUGUCCAAAACAAGCGGAAUAAAUGUGUAAAUAGUAUGUAUAAGAGCUCCUACAUAUGUAUUCUAAAUACGGCACAUAUCUGUCUUCUGUUGCUGCUCUUUGUUAUGGAACCUUUAAUCUUAAAUAUCUUUCUCAAAACUACAUUUACAUGUUUAUACAGUUUCAAAUGUCCCCUGGUUGGUUUGUUUAUGGCUUAUCACAUGACUUAAGCAAUGAAGGGAAUAGUCUUGUCCUUUCAGUGCCAUGAAUGGAGGGAACUAAACUAGAAGAAAUGCUCUCAGUGGGGAAAGUGCUGGGAAAGAAUAACACCUCUCAUCACUUGCUGUGUACCUUCCAGGAUGGUUGCUGAAAUGCAGCAGGGCUUCAUUCCCCUUAAGAGAAGACCCUUGGAACCCUUGGGACUUGGUAUGGGAUUUGGGUCCUAGGCAGAGGUGCACUUUGGGAAUGUGCACCUCCAUGUAGUACCUAUGGGGCAGUGUGGAUAUUUAUUUAUUUAUUUACUCUGGUUAUUUUGAACCAAGUGAUUGCACAGACUUAAUCAUUCAUUUAUGAGAUGGUUAUGAUAUGGAGGCUUGUAGAAUACUUGUGAGCUCAAAGUAUGGCUUUUUGGUGCAGAGCUCAGCAGCAAAGAAUCUUGGUGUGUUUAAAAAAAACAACCAACCACUUCUAACCCUCAUGACAUGGAAAUGAUGUUUGAAAGAAGACAGGCUGUGUCCUGUGAAAUCUCUGAAAUUAGUAGUGUAACUGUAUAUAAUUUCCAGUGAUCAGAAAAUUGAGCUUUAGUGCUUUGAAUCUUGCCCCUGCCUGCUACUAGCGGAAUGAAAUAAAUUAUGUGCUGUUGUUUAUACAAGCUGAAAAGUGUCGCUGCCAUGCCAUAUAAUUUUGCCAUUGUUUUUAGGAAGAGUAUAUACAACUGAUUAUAGUUUGUAGAAUAUGGAAAUAUCUAAUUUCCUAAAGCGGGGGACUUAAAAGCCAGUCAUUGCUUUGGUGGGAGCUGUGAGUACAUCAAUGUGUUCAUAUCCAUUCUUUCUUUUCUUGUAUCUACAAAGAAUAGAAGCUGGAUUUUUCCCAUUCCCCACUUAAACCGUCAUUAUUUUCAUUGUGAUUUUCUGUAGAUAAUACCCCUAUUUUUAACUGCUUCUUUUGGUAUUUGUAUACAUUUAUGCCUGUAUUCUUCUUUGUCAAAUUGCUGAGAUGACCUUCCAGAAUUUUCUCAUGCAGAAACAAUUGUAUGCUUUCAUCAUGCUCUUUUCCCAUCA